GCGACCCCGUCUCGCUUACGCGCAGAAACGCCAUUCUCUCUAAUAGACCUUUUCUUCCCUCUCUCGCGCAAGUCAAUAGAAACCAGUCCAUCGCGCGUGGAGGAAGGAGGCAACAACGGAUACCUGCACUUUGCUGAUGCCGUACGACCUCUGCAACACACAAGACGACGCGAAAUUGUCCUUGGCAUUGUAGGAUCGAGCCACAUCGCUUGCCAAGGACGAGGGAUCGAUCUCAACCCUCCACCUCCCCUUAAUUCCGUCCGAAUCGCGUGGAUUUUGGAUAAGGUUUUGAAAUUCGAAUUCCAAAUGGGCCGAAAGUCUUGGAAUUUCCUCGUCCUGCCCCCAAAAUCGAAAACCCUAGUAAUUCCCCUAUAAAUACCCUUUGCUUCGUUGGUUUCAGGGGAGAAUUUUUUUUUUUAUAGAAAGAUAUAUACAGAGGAUUUUUUUUUGUUUUUUGGGAAAAGAAAUUGUUCCAAACCCGGAAUUCUCUCUCGAAUUCUUUGCUACUGUGUACGUGCCGUUGCGUCGUCUUAUCUCAACUCGUCCUGUCCGCGGUAUCGCUGCUCGAAACAAGGAUCAAAACAUCCUCCCCGAGUCGUAGACCCUCUCAAAACUGGUGUACAGGUCGAAAACAGCAAAUAUGGUGCUGUAAAAUUAUAUUUUCAGGUGUUGAAGAAGCCGUAUACCAGCUAUAUACAUAUUUUAUACACCCAUAUACAGGUCAAAAUACGUACAGGAAGCCAAAUGCGAAACCUGAGUUGAUAACAGUCCAGAUAUACUUCUGGAAAUUAUUUUUCUGCUGUCGAAAGUUGAAGAACAGGUCGAUAUACAACCUGUAUACACUGAUAUACAAAUGUUUUAUACCAAAUAGGUGUAAAAAAUACGAAUUGCAGGUUUAACGUACAGGGAUGCCGAAUUUGAGUAAAAUUCAGGAACAACGAAUUAAAACGCGCAUAGGGUACAAAUGCGCUGAAAUAAUAUGGAAAAUAUAGGUGGAAUCGCGAGAAUUCAUUUUCAAACAAAAUACAGGGCUCAAAAAGUCCAAAAUGGACCGGAUAUAUAUAUCGUAUACAGCGGUAUACAUCAGUUAUAUACCCUAAUUCUCUUUUUUCAGGAAAAAUGGGCCAGGGCCCAUCAACAGAAUUUAAGGAAAUAGGCCCAAAGGCCAUAUAUUGUUUCAGACAUGAUUUGAAUUGUUGAAAAGGGCCCAAGCCUAUAUUCUUGAAAUAUGUAGUGUAGGACAGGUGGGCCAAAGCCCAAUUUACUGAAUUUUGGCAAUUAGCCCAAGUUCAAAUAAUAUUCCCUUCUCACCCUCUUUUAUUUAUUAUUGAUUUGGAUUGACUAACAUUUGGUGGAAUUUUAUUAAUCUCUUAAAGGGCCACCAUUUUUUGUAUAACUUACAUAAAUGCCAUAGUGUAAAAUCUAAAUUACCUUCUAUCCCUAUUAUUUUUAUAAUUACAUAUAUUCCAUAUUUUUUAGACAUUUCAGAUACAUAAUUAAGGAUCCGGAUACAUUAUUGCUGAUACAUUAUGUAUCAAUCUGUUGCACUUAUUAAGGAAAAAAAGCUGUAAAAUCAAUUUAAAAUCUCAUAGUAUCCAUUUGUUCCACUAAUUAAGGGG
rnacentral:lncRNA from 1 species